AGAGCGAACGCUGGCGGCAGGCCUAACACAUGCAAGUCGAGCGCCCGUAGCAAUACGGGAGCGGCAGACGGGAUAGUAACACGUGGGAACGCGCCCUUCGGUUCGGAAUAACUCAGGGAAACUUGAGCUAAUACCGGAUACGCCCUUACGGGGAAAGAUUUAUUGCCGAAGGAACGGCCCGCGUCCGAUUAGCUAGUUGGUGAGGUAAUGGCUCACCAAGGCGACGAUCGGUAGCUGGUCUGAGAGGAUGACCAGCAUCACUGGGACUGAGACACGGCCCAGACUCCUACGGGAGGCAGCAGUGGGGAAUAUUGGACAAUGGGCGCAAGCCUGAUCCAGCCAUGCCGCGUGGAUGAUGAAGGCCUUAGGGUUGUAAAGUCCGUUUUAACGGGGAAGAUAAUGACGGUACCCGUAGAAUAAGCCUCGGCUAACGUUCGCGCCAGCAGCCGC
rnacentral:rRNA from 1 species